ACCGGUGACGAUAGCGAGGAGGGUCCACCCGUUCCCAUCCCGAACACGGCAGUUAAGCUCCUUAGCGCCGAAGAUACUUGUUGGGCAACCGACCGGGAAAAUAGGACGUUGCCGGUA
rnacentral:rRNA from 1 species